rnacentral:lncRNA from 1 species
UUUCCGUGGAGAGACUAUCAACUCCAUCUGUCACAAAAAUUAAGGCUAAAUCUCCUCUCCAGAAGCAGAGGGAGCCGGGGCUCCGACGCGCUCAGCGUCGGGCUGUCUGCCUCUCCCUAGAGGCCAAGUGAAUUUGAAAUGGCAAAAGUCACAGCCGGAGGCCCAGCACUAGGAGAUUCCUCCGGCUGCGGGAAAUCUUCCUGUACCUGCUGAAGCUGCUGCGUUCCUCAGAGGCGCUUGGUCUGCCGUGGGAAGCUGCACCUCUGCAGUCCCCAAAACCAAAAUCAAACCUUAAAAGAGCCAGACUGAGGCAGAGGUGCUGAGCAGCUAAUUGGAGGGGAUAGUAUGAGCCUCCAAAGAUUAGGGAAGAAAAUUGCAGUUGAAGAAAACUUGCUUUGGUUCAAUGCAAAAAUAAUGGGAUGAAUGGCAUGCUGAAAUAUCAUAUGACUUACGAAAAUGAUGAAUGGUAAGACCAUUGUACAUCUUCCAUAAAAGCAGGCAUUUAAAGCAGACAUUGAGAACACUUGGUUCUAUGUUCAUCCCUUGCUGAUCUCUUUGCCCCAUGUAACGCUGUUUGUAUUCUGGUUUUGGUUACUCUGGAAUGGCCAGUGAUUCCCAAACUCAAUAAGAGGAGAAAUGAUGACAAGAAGCAAAGGCCGUCUACAGCCCUCACGUUAGGUAAGCAACCAGGUAGUAAGUCACCAGAAAUGCGCUGUCAUUCAUGGGAAGGUUCCCAAAGAGUCAAUGGAACAUGAGUUCCCUAGGUUAAAAGCCAGUGGCUCACUGGUCUCACUUUAAAGCUUCAACCCCAGGUUCUCCCAUCCACAUCUCAACAGGCCUUCCUGAAAAUAUGUUAGGCUACAUGGCAAAGGGCAAUAAAGUUGCUAAUCAGCUGACUUUAAAAUAGGGAGAUCAUCCAGGAGGGCCCAACGUAAUCAGAAGCAACCUGAAAUGUGGAGGAAGAGGCAGAAGAACCAAAGUCCGAAGGAACAUGGUGAUGGAAGCAAGAUAGGAUGGAUGUCGUGUGAGGACUCAGCCUGCCACUGCUGGCCUUGAAGAUCGAGAAAGGGGAAGGAAUGCAGGAGUGUCAAGAAGCUGGAAAAGGCAAGGAGAUGGAUUAUCCCCCAGAAUCUCCAGAAAGGAAUGCAACUCUGCCCAUCACUUGAUUUUAGCCCAGUGAGAGCCAUGUCAGAAUUCCAGCCAACGGAACUGUCAAGAAGCAAAUUAGUGUUGUUUUAAGCCACCAAGGUUGUGGCAAUUUGGGCUAGCAGUCAUAGGAAACAAAGAGCAGCAUCAUUGAAUCAAUCCCCAAUGUGUGUUAACUGUGGUGAAGGACCCCGGGAUGCCCAUGGAUAAGAAGCCCUUAUCUUGAAUCAUUCUUUGUGCAGGACUGAGUGACAGACUGUCCAAGAAGUCACAAGAAAAAGGUCACUAUAACUCUCAACUUGUCAAGCUUCAAAUUCUGUGUGUAGAAACAAAUUUCCAAGUUCUAGUCUGUUGUAGAGAUUAAAAGCUAAUAUCAUAAGGGCCAAA